CCUAUAGCCGCUGUUGGUCAACAAGGAAUCAAUCAUUUGUCAGUCUCCUAGAAACGUGUUUAACCACAGCUUACGAAU
rnacentral:rRNA from 1 species